AACGAACGCUGGCGGCAUGCCUAACACAUGCAAGUCGAACGAGACCUUCGGGUCUAGUGGCGCACGGGUGCGUAACGCGUGGGAAUCUACCCUCAGGUUCGGAAUAACUCAGAGAAAUUUGAGCUAAUACCGGAUGAUGACGUAAGUCCAAAGAUUUAUCGCCUGAGGAUGAGCCCGCGUAGGAUUAGGUAGUUGGUGAGGUAAAGGCUCACCAAGCCGACGAUCCUUAGCUGGUCUGAGAGGAUGAUCAGCCACACUGGGACUGAGACACGGCCCAGACUCCUACGGGAGGCAGCAGUGGGGAAUAUUGGACAAUGGGCGAAAGCCUGAUACAGCAAUGCCGCGUGAGUGAUGAAGGCCUUAGGGUUGUAAAGCUCUUUUACCCGGGAUGAUAAUGACAGUACCGGGAGAAUAAGCUCCGGCUAACUCCGUG
rnacentral:rRNA from 1 species